CACAGUGGUAGAAGAGCGUUCAUACCAGCGUUGAAGGUAUACCGGUAAGGAGUGCUGGAGCGGUAUGAAGUGAGCAUGCAGGAAUGAGUAACGAUAAGAUAUAUGAGAAUUGUAUCCGCCGUAAAUCUAAGGUUUCCUACGCGAUGGUCGUCAUCGUAGGGUUAGUCGGGUCCUAAGCCGAGUCCGAAAGGGGUAGGUGAUGGCAAAUUGGUUAAUAUUCCAAUACCGACUGUGGAGCGUGAUGGGGGGACGCAUAGGGUUAAGCGAGCUAGCUGAUGGAAGGCUAGUCUAAGGGCGUAGAUUGGAGGGAAGGCAAAUCCACCUCUGUAUUUGAAACCCAAACAGGCUCUUUGAGUCCUUUUAGGACAAAGGGAGAAUCGCUGAUACCGUCGUGCCAAGAAAAGCCUCUAAGCAUAUCCAUAGUCGUCCGUACCGCAAACCGACACAGGUAGAUGAGAUGAGUAUUCUAAGGCGCGUGAAAGAACUCUGGUUAAGGAACUCUGCAAACUAGCACCGUAAGUUGCGAUAAGGUGUGCCACAGCGAUGUGGUCUCAGCAAAGAGUCCCUCCCGACUGUUUACCAAAAACACAGCACUUUGCCAACUCGUAAGAGGAAGUAUAAGGUGUGACGCCUGCCCGGUGCUCGAAGGUUAAGAGGAUGCGUCAGUCGCAAGAUGAAGCGUUGAAUUGAAGCCCGAGUAAACGGCGGCCGUAACUAUAACGGUCCUAAGGUAGCGAAAUUCCUUGUCGGUUAAAUACCGACCUGCAUGAAUGGCGUAACGAGAUGGGAGCUGUCUCAACCAGAGAUUCAGUGAAAUUGUAGUGGAGGUGAAAAUUCCUCCUACCCGCGGCAAGACGGAAAGACCCCGUGGACCUUUACUACAACUUAGCACUGCUAAUGGGAAUAUCAUGCGCAGGAUAGGUGGGAGGCUUUGAAGUAAGGGCUUUGGCUCUUAUGGAGCCAUCCUUGAGAUACCACCCUUGAUGUUUCUGUUAGCUAACUGGCCUGUGUUAUCCACAGGCAGGACAAUGCUUGGUGGGUAGUUUGACUGGGGCGGUCGCCUCCUAAAAAGUAACGGAGGCUUGCAAAGGUUGGCUCAUUGCGGUUGGAAAUCGCAAGUUGAGUGUAAUGGCACAAGCCAGCCUGACUGUAAGACAUACAAGUCAAGCAGAGACGAAAGUCGGUCAUAGUGAUCCGGUGGUUCUGUGUGGAAGGGCCAUCGCUCAAAGGAUAAAAGGUACCCCGGGGAUAACAGGCUGAUCUCCCCCAAGAGCUCACAUCGACGGGGAGGUUUGGCACCUCGAUGUCGGCUCAUCGCAUCCUGGGGCUGGAGCAGGUCCCAAGGGUAUGGCUGUUCGCCAUUUAAAGCGGUACGCGAGCUGGGUUCAGAACGUCGUGAGACAGUUCGGUCCCUAUCUGCCGUGGGCGUAGGAAAGUUGAGGAGAGCUGUCCCUAGUACGAGAGGACCGGGAUGGACGUGUCACUGGUGCACCAGUUGUUCUGCCAAGAGCAUCGCUGGGUAGCUACACACGGAUGUGAUAACUGCUGAAAGCAUCUAAGCAGGAAGCCAACUCCAAGAUGAACUUUCCCUGAAGCUCGCACAAAGACUAUGUGCUUGAUAGGGUAGAUGUGUAAGCGCAGUAAUGCGUUUAGCUGACUACUACUAAUAGAGCGUUUGGCUUGUUUUU
rnacentral:rRNA from 1 species